rnacentral:rRNA from 1 species
AGUGGGGAUGACGUCAAAUCAUCAUGCCCCUUAUGACCUGGGCUACACACGUGCUACAAUGGGCGGUACAAAGGGUCGCGAACCCGCGAGGGGGAGCCAAUCCCAAAAAGCCGCUCUCAGUUCGGAUUGCAGGCUGCAACUCGCCUGCAUGAAGCCGGAAUCGCUAGUAAUCGCGGAUCAGCAUGCCGCGGUGAAUACGUUCCCGGGCCUU